rnacentral:rRNA from 1 species
AGAGCGAACGCUGGCGGCAGGCCUAACACAUGCAAGUCGAGCGCCCGUAGCAAUACGGGAGCGGCAGACGGGAUAGUAACACGUGGGAACGCGCCCUUCGGUUCGGAAUAACUCAGGGAAACUUGAGCUAAUACCGGAUACGCCCUUACGGGGAAAGAUUUAUUGCCGAAGGAACGGCCCGCGUCCGAUUAGCUAGUUGGUGAGGUAAUGGCUCACCAAGGCUCCGAUCGGUAGCUGGUCUGAGAGGAUGACCAGCAUCACUGGGACUGAGACACGGCCCAGACUCCUACGGGAGGCAGCAGUGGGGAAUAUUGGACAAUGGGCGCAAGCCUGAUCCAGCCAUGCCGCGUGGAUGAUGAAGGCCUUAGGGUUGUAAAGUCCUUUUAACGGGAAGAUAAUGACGGUACCCGUAGAAUAAGCCCGGCUAACUUCGCGCCAGCAGCCGC